UACGUAGGGUGCAAGCGUUUGUCCGGAAUUAUUGGGCGUAAAGAGCUUGUAGGCGGUUUGUCGCGUCUGCUGUGAAAUUUCGGGGCUCAACCCCGAACUUGCAGUGGGUACGGGCAGACUAGAGUGUGGUAGGGGAGACUGGAAUUCCUGGUGUAGCGGUGAAAUGCGCAGAUAAUCAGGAGGAACACCGAUGGCGAAGGCAGGUCUCUGGGCCACUACUGACGUGAGAAGCGAAAGCAUGGGGAGCGAACAGG
rnacentral:rRNA from 1 species